rnacentral:rRNA from 1 species
GUCUUUCUGUAAUAAAUAUAAAGUCUGACCUGCCCACUGAAAUUUUUAAAUGGCCGCAGUACACUAACUGUGCAAAGGUAGCAUAAUCAUUAGUCUUUUAAUUGAAGGCUGGUAUGAAUGGUUGGACGAGAUAUUAACUGUUUCAUUUGAAUUUAUAAUAGAAUUUUAUUUUUUAGUCAAAAAGCUAAAAUUUAUUUAAAAGACGAGAAGACCCUAUAAAUCUUUAUAUUUUGUUUAUAUUAAUUAAUUAGAUUUAUUUUAUUAUUAUAAAUUAAAAUAUUUUAUUGGGGUGAUAUUAAAAUUUAAAAAACUUUUAAUUUGUAAAUACAUUAAUUUAUGAAUAUUUGAUCCAUUAAUAAUGAUUAAAAAUUUAAGUUACUUUAGGGAUAACAGCGUAAUUUUUUUGGAGAGUUCAUAUCGAUAAAAAAGAUUGCGACCUCGAUGUUGGAUUAAGAUAUAAUUUUAG